rnacentral:lncRNA from 1 species
ACACACGGCAGGCCCCAACGCUGACCUACAGAGCCACCUACCUGACUGGCAGCUGUCCUGGCACAUGGAUGAGCCCACCUGGGACUAAGAGCGGGCAGUCUUCUCAUGAGCAAUAUUGACUGUACUAAGCUGAAGGUUGGAGCAGCUUGUUAUCUAGCACAAGUGUGACCCAGCAGUGAUUUUCCUCAUAUUUAAUUUGAAGCCACUGCAUACACAGGGUUUUCUGGGUUCCUCGGGCAGUCUAAAACAGCCUUCCAAUCUCUUGGCAAUAUUUUUGUAUUCUCUUCCUAAUAAAGCUCUCCAAAAGUA